UACUCUUCCUGCCCAAAGGGACUCCUUCUAUGGGAGACUUGCACUGUGCAGAGAGGGACUACUACAUGUGCCUGGGACCAAAAACUGCAGCCAUGCAAGGAAACGUGAGUGACCCAGUUACCAGCACAGCUGCUGGCUCCCCGGGGAAGGGGACCCAGGAACCCGAUGUGCACAGGAGUAGCUGGGGCACGUGGCUGGCCUCUCCCUUCAAACAACAGGACCUCAUGUUCUUUAUACUUUCCUCAGUGUUUCUGGGUGCCCUGUGCCUUCCCAAUGAUACCCUAAGAAGAAGAGGAAAAUCCUCCCAACUUGGUAAAAACACAAGGGCACAGAGAGGGGGCAACAGACCCGAGAUCACCCAGCAAGUUGGACACACAUAGGAUUCAAAUGGAGGAUUCAAACUCAGCCCCCAGCUUGGAAUAUAAAGGCACAUUCUCAAGUCACCACGAGGACAGAGUGGGCCUGAAUGCCAGCCUGGCUCUCCUUCCCCAUAACCUGUCUGCCUAGCUGACCCUCCAACUUCCAGGACCUUUGGGCCUGCUCUGGCACCGGCUUGCUCUGUGACCCUGGCCUACGUGCUUUAGCCCUCUGUGCCUGCUGCUGGGUGAUUUGAGAAUAGUUGGAGGCAGGAGAUACAAAAAGUCUCACAGAACAACUCAUCCCACACUCUGCCCUGGGUUCGGAGAGCCCACAUGGAGGCCUCAGAGGACAGCGGUGAGUGCUAGACUUCCUGCCAAA
rnacentral:lncRNA from 1 species